rnacentral:rRNA from 1 species
AUUGAACGCUGGCGGCAUGCCUUACACAUGCAAGUCGAACGGCAGCACGGGAGCAAUCCUGGUGGCGAGUGGCGAACGGGUGAGUAAAGUAUCGGAACGUGCCCAGUCGUGGGGGAUAACGUAGCGAAAGUUACGCUAAUACCGCAUACGAUCUAUGGAUGAAAGCGGGGGAUCGCAAGACCUCGCGCGAUUGGAGAGGCCGAUAUCAGAUUAGGUAGUUGGUGGGGAAAAGGCUCACCAAGCCGAGGAUCUGUAGCUGGUCUGAGAGGACGACCAGCAACACUGGGACUAUGACACGGCCCAGACGCCUACGGGGGGCAGUAGUGGGGAAUUUUAGACAAUGGGCGAAAGCCUGAUCCAGCCAUGCCGCGUGCAGGAUGAAGGCCUUCGGGUUGUAAACUGCUUUUGUACGGAACGAAAAGGUUUGGCCUAAUAAGCUGAGCUCAUGACGGUACCGUAAGAAUAAGCACCGGCUAACUACGUGCCAGCAGCCGCCGUAA